rnacentral:lncRNA from 1 species
CUCCCCCAGGUCACCCAACUAAGAUGAGACAGAGCCAGGAGCCAUGUGCUGACAUCUUGCCUGCUGGGUCUGGGCCCUGCACCCCAGCAGCAUUCUGCCACCGGAACCAGCAGGUGUUGGCACCUGACCUGAUGCAGGAACGACCUCCUCUAGGAGUCUGUGCUCUCUCUACACCACGUCCCUCAAACUGCAGGGAACUGGCGGACCAGUUUGUGAGAUUCUGUGUCUUCAAGGUUUCUUCCAUCCAGAGAGAUGGUACCUGUUCUUUUCCCCUGGGGUAGUCUAAAACAUCUUAAGAAGAAGACAUUUCUUGCCCAAGACAAUUGGAGAUCAGGGAAGAUCAUCCGUCUGCCAAAAUGGCUUGGGCUGGGCCUGAGCUGUGGCCUUGUCAGAGUGAUUUUAGCACAGGCCCUGCUAGACAUGAGCCUAUUACAAAUGCUAGAUAAGGCCUUCACUUUCAUAUAGCUCAGAGGAGGAGAGGGGAGACGGGGAGUUAAGGGAUAGUCGCCACUGUAGAUAAGGAGAAUAUAUAUUUUGUUUAAGCGAAACUGUUGGCUACAGACUCCAAUGCACUGGUAUCCAUCAAAUCCUUUUCUGAUUUACAUGAAUACCUGAUUCUCCCGAUAAGGAAAAGUGUAAGUCAACACUGCUCUGUUGUAACUGGGUGUUACCUGCCCUGAUACUGAACGUUCUAUCUGCAGCCUUUUGCAGGCCCCCUCCAGCUUUAGCUGCCUCUUAGGUGUGACCAAAUUGUCAUGUAUGUGUGUGUGUGUGCAUGUGUGUUGGCUCCAAAGGCUUAUUUAUGAAUAGAUCCCAAAGAAAUGUCACAGAGAAAUAGUGACUUGAAGUCCAAAGAGGAGGAAAAAGGAGCCGGCAGGCGGAUGACGAAUCUGUGAAAUAGUCAUACCUACGCCGCUCACGAUGUCCACGCCACGAGACCCCAUCUGCUAUGCAUCACCCGUAACACGGCAGCCGCACCCCCGGGCUGCCCUGAUAAGAGGCGGAAACUAGUAAAUCAUCCCACACUUCUGGACUCAGUUUCUCCAUCUCUGAAAGGGAAAAUUCUGUCCACUGCCAGGUAUUCAUCAUGAGAUAAAUGAACUGCACUGCGCUAAGUCAUCUUGAAACAGGAAAGCUGGUGGAUUAAAUAAAG